rnacentral:tRNA from 1 species
AGCUCUUCCCCUGGUCUUAGGCUCCAGUACCUCUUGGUGCAAAUCCAAGUAAAAGCUC